rnacentral:rRNA from 1 species
GACGAACGCUGGCGGCGUGCUUAACACAUGCAAGUCGAACGGUAAGGCCCUUCGGGGUACACGAGUGGCGAACGGGUGAGUAACACGUGGGUGAUCUGCCCUGCACUUCGGGAUAAGCCUGGGAAACUGGGUCUAAUACCGGAUAGGACCACUGCCUGCAUGGGUGGUGGUGGAAAGCUUUUGCGGUGUGGGAUGGGCCCGCGGCCUAUCAGCUCGUUGGUGGGGUGAUGGGCGACCAAGGGGACGACGGGUAGCCGGCCUGAGAGGGUGACCGGCCACACUGGGACUGAGAUACGGCCCAGACUCCUACGGGAGGCAGCAGUGGGGAAUAUUGCACAAUGGGCGCAAGCCUGAUGCAGCGACGCCGCGUGAGGGAUGACGGCCUUCGGGUUGUAAACCUCUUUCAGCACCGACGAAGCGCAAGUGACGGUAGGUGCAGAAGAAGGACCGGCCAACUACGUGCCAGCCGCCGCCGUAA